GGCUGUAGCUUAGUGGCAGAGCGCUUGCCUAGCAUGCAUGAGGCACUGGGUUCAAUCUCAGCACCA
rnacentral:tRNA from 1 species